GGGGACAUCUCUCUGAUCAGGGCAUCACUGCGGUCCAUUGGGUAAUAAAAAAGGUUGAUGCAGUCUUGGUGCCUGUGCAGUCUUUUUCUGACAUUUGAUAGAGUAGUGCUUCCAUUGAAGUUUAAGGCAGGCUAUGAAGUCAUCACAGCCUGACCGUACAUUGCAAACCCGAUGCAUUGCUACCACUGUCAAGGUUAUAACCAAAUUUGCGUGUCCUGUCAAAACCUGGCCAAAUGUGUUACUUGUGGUAAAAACACUGAAGAGGGCGACUGCCCCCCCCCCCCCCCCCCGCUGUAUCAAUUGUAACAGCAACCAUGCCGCCUCAUCCCGUGAAUGCCUCAUGUAUCUUAAUGAGCAAGCCAUCCAGGAAAUCAGGGUGAAGGAAAAAGUAUCCUAUUCUGUCACUCGCAAUUAGUUGGCUAGUUGAAAGCCCUGCAUUUUACCAUCCAGCACUUACAGCACCAUUCUUGCCAAGCCUUGCUCCACAAAAGACUUAGCCACACAGAAUUGUGACCUCCAAUUCAGUAGUGCAGCUGUGAAAUCGCUCAGUAUCAAGGUAGCAUCCCUGUCUCCUCCUCCUGCAGCAGUGCAACAUACUGUCAAAUCUUCGCCCCAGCAGUGAAAUCACCUGCUACGCAACCAAACGGGCCGGAAAGGACAAAAGGAAUAAUCCUACAAGGACUUUUUAUGUCCCUCUAGCUGACAAAUGUCUCCAUCUUAGUCUGCCAACUGUAAAGGCUGUAAGAAAUCAAACAAAGGCAAUCCGUCUUAUCCUUCCUUGACUCGCGUCACUGUAUGAUACGCUUACCUGGCUGACCUCCAUUUUGCUGGUGCGCACUGCCAACCAUUUUUCUGCCCUGGAAUCCAUAGGCCAACCCAGGGAGAUGCCAAUUCCUCUGUACAUUUCUUGGAACAGGACCCUCCAGCUUCUGUGCCCUGUAGCAGUGUAUCUUCAAAGGCUGUCAAACAGCAGCCACUGAGGUGAGUACCCUUUAUCCCUCCCACGCAUUACGAUUCUUCUCCAAUGGAAUGUCCAUGUCAUUAGAUCAAACAAUGAGGAAUUAUGGUUUCUCUUGGAAUCACAGUGUCCACUUGUUUUCUGCUUCCAAGAAAUAAAGUUGCAUCCUUGCAACUGCUUUGACCUGCUGUUUUCCCUUCUGGUCCACUUUGGCCAUUGUCACCUUUCACACUAGUCCAGUUGACAGUUUCUAUACAGAAGCUGUUGAACUACACUGUCUUAUGGAUAUGACGUCCUUGUGCAGUGGAUAUGCAUGCGGUUUGUCUGCCAUCCCUGACCACCCAUACUACACACUCUUUUUCGAUGAUUCCAUUGGCUGCCUAUAUGGGGUGCACUGCUCUUCUCUGUUACCUCUGGAGUUCACUUUCGGCUACUGCUCUGGCACUUAGCUUCACGUUAUCUGCCACAUUCCCAAUGGGUGUGAACACUUCAUUGCUUUGGCUUUGUGUGGUGGCUCGUGUUAAUCUUGGACUUCAUUCCCUUCCUAAGGUCACUACUCCGGAUUUGGUCUAUCGCUUUUAGCUUCUCGACCAUCGCACACAACUUAGCGAUAGCAUCGUCCUGCACACUGAUGACUCUAAGACUGACUAUGGUGUUGGGUGUACCUUCUUCAAUGGCACCAACCAUUUCGGUAUCAGCUUCCAGAACGCUGUUCGAUUUUUAUAGCAACUCUUCACCUUCUACCAAGCUACCCAGUACAUCCAGUGACACAGGCUUUUUUUGUCAUAUGCUGUGAUUCUCUCAGUGCCCUUCAGAGCCUUUGUGUGCUGCACACAGUACAUCCCAUAGUGUAAUGGGUCCAAGAGAGCUUCCGGAGUAAAUUUAACCUUCUUCUCUCAACACUUCCUAGAUCUAGCAGAAAUAUUGUGAUGAUACUAACUCUUGUUUGUUGUUGUUGGGAACCACUGUGAUGUUCAUCUUGGUACCUAGUCACCUCAGUGUGGUGGGAAAUGAGGCUGCUGCUAAUGCUACUGCCAAGGCUACAGUCCUCCUACGUCAGCCUGCUAGCUAUUCCAUUACUUCGGAUGAUCUCCGUGUUGCUGUCUGUCGGCAGAUGGUGUCACUCUGGCAUCAUGGGAGCACACACUGGCUCGAGACCACUGUCUCUAUGGCAUAUUUUGCAGAACUUUCUCCAAAGGCGUAGAAAAUGUCUUCUCAUGAACUGUUAAGAACUCCAGAGGAAAUAAUAAGAGAAUUUGAACGUCAAGAGGCUGAAAACGUGUAUUACAGUGAAUCAGACGAAGAUGUGAGUGAAUCUGAAGACAGUCAUAUCACAGACGACCAUGAGGAUGACGAAUUCAAUGUACCGCCAUUUGAGGUUGAUUCAUCAGAUGAAGGAGAUAGCCAAUCAUGUACAGACAAAAAGGAAGGAGAACAAUGUACAAAGCUGGCUAGCAACUGCCACUGUGAGAUGAACACACAACAAUAAUGGAGCUACAUAAAAAAUAUAGAAUUGAUAAUUUUGUCAAAGUGCUCCACGCAGUGUCAAAUUGAAUAUAUGACAAAUAACUGAGAUGAUAACAAAUGGCCUCCUGGCAGUCCUACAGUCACAUUAUGGGUAGCAAACCAGAUGGACAUUAACAAAUGUCAUUAAUGACAAGCUCAAGUGACACAAAAAUAUUUGAUGAUUAUGAAAAACAAGAUAUUACAUCUCCAUUCUCCACAGUACAAAGUUGAUGAAUAAGGCAUGGCUGUGUGCACAGUGCGGCUGCCUCGAGUCGACUAAACAUGCUGCUGCCUCACGAGCGUCAAGGGCCCCCACAGGCCCCCUCCAGGGGUCCCCAGCGGAUGUGCCUCGUGAUAACAGCGCCAGCGCGCCCCGAUUGCGCAACCGCAACUUGAUUUUCCAGCAACACGGGCCUAGUAAUACUAGGGCCCGUGUCACGCGGCUGCCUCGCUCAGCGGCUAAGUCCGCUUCAAGGUCACCCGCCUUAUGCGGCUAUGUACAUUAACUGCACACAGACAUGUAUGUUCUGUCUUUGUUAUUGUUAAUGUUGGCAUACAAUGUUCUGAUAAAUCUUGAUACAGAAAUAGUUUAUGGAUAACUGAAAAAAACAAAAAAAAGCAAAA